ACGAACCGUGCGAACGUUGUUCGGAAUCACUGGGCUUAAAGGGCGCGUAGGCGGGUGGCCGCGUCCACGGUGAAAUCCCCCGGCUCAACCGGGGAAGGGCCGCGGGUACGGGCGACCUCGAGGCGGGUAGGGGCGUGCGGAACACUGGGUGGAGCGGUGAAAUGCGUUGAUAUCCAGUGGAACUCCGGUGGCGAAGGCGGCACGCUGGACCCGAUCUGACGCUGAGGCGCGAAAGCUAGGGGAGCGAACGGGA
rnacentral:rRNA from 1 species